UUUAAACUCCAUCUUUACACAUUAGUAUCUCAAACUAACUAAUUUAUCUGCUUCUUGGACACUUUGGAGAACGACAGGGAGAGGAAGAGAGAAACUGGAGAAACUUUCUGCGACACUUCCGGUUGAAGCUUCCGGUAAUCACGCCCAGGUGUGUUCAGGUGUUCUCAGGUGUGUAUAUCAUUGUUUCGAGCAGGUAAGCGGUGCGGACCGCGGGCAGCCUGGCUGUGGAUCAAAGCGGUGGAAGAAGAAGGAGCCGGGGAAGGAGAGAUGAAGUCUAGAUACUCAGAACUCUGUUGACGUCUUCCAGGAGGAUCCCCCGUCGGUGACCGUCUUCCUGCUCAGGUAGGAGACUCAAAGCUUUCUUAAUGUUGUUUUAUUAUGUUCCAGGUUUUAGGUCUUAUAG